AUCUACAGGCUUAACACAUGCAAGUCGAGGGGCAUCAGGAAGAAAGCUUGCUUUCUUUGCUGGCGACCGGCGCACGGGUGAGUAACACGUAUCCAACCUGCCCUUUACCCGGGGAUAGCCUUUCGAAAGAAAGAUUAAUACCCGAUAGCAUAAUGAUUCCGCAUGGUUUCAUUAUUAAAGGAUUCCGGUAAAGGAUGGGGAUGCGUUCCAUUAGGUUGUUGGUGAGGUAACGGCUCACCAAGCCUUCGAUGGAUAGGGGUUCUGAGAGGAAGGUCCCCCACAUUGGAACUGAGACACGGUCCAAACUCCUACGGGAGGCAGCAGUGAGGAAUAUUGGUCAAUGGGCGGUAGCCUGAACCAGCCAAGUAGCGUGAAGGAUGAAGGCUCUAUGGGUCGUAAACUUCUUUUAUAUAAGAAUAAAGUGCAGUAUGUAUACUGUUUUGUAUGUAUUAUAUGAAUAAGGAUCGGCUAACUCCGUGCCAGCAGCCGCGGUAAUACGGAGGAUCCGAGCGUUAUCCGGAUUUAUUGGGUUUAAAGGGAGCGUAGGUGGACUGGUAAGUCAGUUGUGAAAGUUUGCGGCUCAACCGUAAAAUUGCAGUUGAUACUGUCAGUCUUGAGUACAGUAGAGGUGGGCGGAAUUCGUGGUGUAGCGGUGAAAUGCUUAGAUAUCACGAAGAACUCCGAUUGCGAAGGCAGCUCACUGGACUGCAACUGACACUGAUGCUCGAAAGUGUGGGUAUCAAACAGGAUUAGAUACCCUGGUAGUCCACACAGUAAACGAUGAAUACUCGCUGUUUGCGAUAUACAGUAAGCGGCCAAGCGAAAGCAUUAAGUAUUCCACCUGGGGAGUACGCCGGCAACGGUGAAACUCAAAGGAAUUGACGGGGGCCCGCACAAGCGGAGGAACAUGUGGUUUAAUUCGAUGAUACGCGAGGAACCUUACCCGGGCUUAAAUUGCAGUGGAAUGAUGUGGAAACAUGUCAGUGAGCAAUCACCGCUGUGAAGGUGCUGCAUGGUUGUCGUCAGCUCGUGCCGUGAGGUGUCGGCUUAAGUGCCAUAACGAGCGCAACCCUUAUCUUUAGUUACUAACAGGUUAUGCUGAGGACUCUAGAGAGACUGCCGUCGUAAGAUGUGAGGAAGGUGGGGAUGACGUCAAAUCAGCACGGCCCUUACGUCCGGGGCUACACACGUGUUACAAUGGGGGGUACAGAAGGCAGCUAGCGGGUGACCGUAUGCUAAUCCCAAAAGCCUCUCUCAGUUCGGAUCGAAGUCUGCAACCCGACUUCGUGAAGCUGGAUUCGCUAGUAAUCGCGCAUCAGCCACGGCGCGGUGAAUACGUUCCCGGGCCUUGUACACACCGCCCGUCAAGCCAUGGGAGCUGGGGGUACCUGAAGUACGUAACCGCAAGGAUCGUCCUAGGGUAAAACUGGUGACUGGGGCU
rnacentral:rRNA from 1 species